GGAAGCAGCCAUAUCACCCUGCAACUCACAACUGGCAACCCACUAAAGCUAAGCAGGUGUGAGCCUGGUCAGUAGCUGGAUGGGAGACCUCCUGGGAAAAACUAAGGUUGCUGCUGGAA
ensembl:rRNA 5S_rRNA 5S ribosomal RNA